rnacentral:snoRNA from 1 species
UCCAGCGAUAGUCAGCCGUCCGGACAGACCCGCUGCCGUGAUGGUGUUACACUGCUGGGAGAGCACUGUCUUGUCUUCUUCCUCCGGGGGCCUGCGGGGCUGUUCUGGUGGCCUGGGGCACUGGGGCAAGGCGUGACUGCGCUGCCUGGAGAGUGUGCUAAGCCUCCUCCUGGGCUGCUUGGUGCUAGUCUGGGAGCAAACAGU